GGAUGCCGUUCCCCUCGCUGCCUAAGACUUGGUAGUUGAAGGUUUUAGAGCAUCCUAGAGUAAACGUGACUUCUUCACCCACGGCAGUACUGCUCUAAUACUGAGCAAGUUCUCAUUGCUGUGGCUUUGCGAGUUCAAACAUUU